ncrna:unclassified sequences skipping-rope RNA
AGUCAGUGAGGUCGGAAAUGGUUCCCGACACACGCGAAAGCGUACCUGAGAUGCAGGGGACACCGCCCUGCCACUGAUC